GGAGGGUGCAAGCGUUAAUCGGAAUUACUGGGCGUAAAGCGCGCGUAGGUGGUUUGUUAAGUUGGAUGUGAAAUCCCCGGGCUCAACCUGGGAACUGCAUCCAAAACUGGCAAGCUAGAGUAUGGUAGAGGGUGGUGGAAUUUCCUGUGUAGCGGUGAAAUGCGUAGAUAUAGGAAGGAACACCAGUGGCGAAGGCGACCACCUGGACUGAUACUGACACUGAGGUGCGAAAGCGUGGGGAGCAAACAGGGAUUAGAUACCCUGGUAGUCCACGCCGUAAACGAUGUCAACUAGCCCGUUGGGAGCCCUUGAGCUCUUAGUGGCGCAGCUAACGCAUUAAGUUGACCGCCUGGGGAUACGGCCGCAAGGUUA
rnacentral:rRNA from 1 species